rnacentral:rRNA from 1 species
AGUUGGUGGAGUGAUUUGUCUGGUUAAUUCCGUUAACGAACGAGACCUUAACCUGCUAAAUAGGGGCCGGAACUUUUCGUUUCGGACUCACUUCUUAGAGGGACUUUGCGUGUCUAACGCAAGGAAGUUUGAGGCAAUAACAGGU